rnacentral:rRNA from 1 species
GUGUCAGCCGCCGCGGUAAUACGAAGGGGGCGAGCGUUGUUCGGAAUCACUGGGCUUAAAGCGUGCGUAGGCGGGUUAUCAAGUCAGAAGUGAAAUCCCUGGGCUUAACCCAGGAAUUGCUUUUGAAACUGAUAGUCUAGAAACCGAGAGAGGUUAGCGGAAUGUCCAGUGUAGAGGUGAAAUUCGCAGAUAUUGGACGGAACACCAGUGGCGAAGGCGGCUAACUGGCUCGGUAUUGACGCUGAGGCACGAAAGCGUGGGUAGCAAACAGGAUUAGAUACCCUUGUAGUCC